rnacentral:rRNA from 1 species
CAGCAGCCGCGGUAAUACGUAGGGGGCGAGCGUUGUCCGGAAUUAUUGGGCGUAAAGCGCGCGCAGGCGGUCCUUUAAGUCUGAUGUGAAAGCCCACGGCUCAACCGUGGAGGGUCAUUGGAAACUGGGGGACUUGAGUGCAGGAGAGGAGAGCGGAAUUCCACGUGUAGCGGUGAAAUGCGUAGAGAUGUGGAGGAACACCAGUGGCGAAGGCGGCUCCCUGGCCUGUAACUGACGCUGAGGCGCGAAAGCGUGGGGAGCAAACAGGAUUAGAUACCCUGGUAGUCCACGCCGUAAACGAUGAGUGCUAAGUGUUAGAGGGGUCACACCCUUUAGUGCUGCAGCUAACGCGAUAAGCACUCCGCCUGGGGAGUACGGCCGCAAGGCUGAAACUUAAAGGAAUUGGCGGG